CUCCCUUGCCCACCUGUGCAACUGGGCUCCAGCUUCACGCUCCAGCUGGGCCCAUGUCCGAUAACAUUCAUCCAUCAUCCUUGUGUAGAAGUCCUCGGGAUUCUAGAUGGCCUCAAGUUCUCUGUCAGUCUUCUCAUCACAUGCUUGCCUAGUAGAAUACAGUGACGGCCACACUCUAGCCCAUGCCUUUGGACAACAUCCUCUUCUUGCCUUGAAGAAUUCGCUCUCAGACCCUUAACCACCAUGUUAGAAGUCUAGCCACUCUGUGAGAGAGAGAAGACGAGAAAAGUCCCAGGAUGACACCGACAGUCACAUGUUAAGAGAGAAGCUAUUUUGGACCUUGUGUCCAGACCAACUAACCACCACCGAGUGACCCAUGACCCAACAGCCAAGCUGUGUCAGCAUUCCUCAGUUUUAUGAAGUAAAAUAAAAUGCUUUUUAGACCCUAA
rnacentral:lncRNA from 1 species